rnacentral:rRNA from 1 species
AUACGUCGGGGGCGAGCGUUGUCCGGAAUGAUUGGGCGUAAAGGGCGCGUAGGCGGCCCGGUAAGUCUGGAGUGAAAGUCCUGUUUUUAAGAUGGGACUUGCUUUGGAUACUGUCGGGCUUGAGUGCUGGAGAGGUAAGUGGAAUUCACAGUGGAGCGGUGAAAUGAGUAGGGAUUGGGAGGAACACCAGUGGCGAAGACGACUUACUGGACUGUAACUGACGCUGAGGCGCGAAAGUGUGGGGAGCAAACAGGAUUAGAUACCCUGGUAGUCCACACUGUAAACGAUGAAUGCUAGGUGUAGGGGGUAUCGACCCCUUCUGUGCCGCAGUCAACACAAUAAGCAUUCCGCCUGGGGAGUACGGCCGCAAGGUUGAAACUCAAAGGAAUUGACGGGG